rnacentral:rRNA from 1 species
GACGAACGCUGGCGGCGUGCUUAACACAUGCAAGUCGAACGGUGAACCUCUUCGGAGGGGAUCAGUGGCGAACGGGUGAGUAACACGUGGGCAACCUGCCCCCGGCUCUGGGAUAACUCCAAGAAAUUGGGGCUAAUACCGGAUGUUCACCGCUUCCCGCAUGGGUGGUGGUGAAAAGGGUUUCCGGCUGGGGAUGGGCCCGCGGCCUAUCAGCUUGUUGGUGGGGUAGUGGCCUACCAAGGCGACGACGGGUAGCCGGCCUGAGAGGGUGACCGGCCACCAGGGGGAAGGACACCGGGCCAGCACCCCUCGGGGGGGAGGCGUGGGGGAUGUGGGGGCAGGGGGGGGAGGCUUGACGCGGCGCGGCGGGGGGGGGGAGGGGGGCCUUGGGUUGUUAACCCUUUUGCGGCGGGGAGGAAGGGCAAGGGAGGGUACGUGAGAAAGAACACCGGCCAAACUAGGGG